rnacentral:rRNA from 1 species
GACGAACCGUGCGAACGUUGUUCGGGAUCACUGGGCUUAAAGGGCGCGUAGGCGGGCUAUCAAGUCCGGGGUGAAAUCCUCCCGCUCAACGGGAGAACGGCCUCGGAUACUGAUGGUCUCGAGGGGGAUAGGGGCACACGGAACUGUGGGUGGAGCGGUGAAAUGCGUUGAUAUCCAUAGGAACUCCGGUGGCGAAAGCGGUGUGCUGGAUCCCUUCUGACGCUGAGGCGCGAAAGCCAGGGGAGCGAACGGG